rnacentral:rRNA from 1 species
CCUACGGGAGGCAGCAGUGAGGAAUAUUGGUCAAUGGGCGCUAGCCUGAACCAGCCAAGUAGCGUGAAGGAUGACGGCCCUAUGGGUUGUAAACUUCUUUUAUAGGGGAAUAAAGUGCAGUAUGUAUACGGCUUUGCAUGUACCUUAUGAAUAAGGAUCGGCUAACUCCGUGCCAGCAGCCGCGGUAAUACGGAGGGUCCGAGCGGUAUCCGGAUUUAUUGGGUUUAACGGGAGCGUAGGCGGGUUGUUAAGUCAGUUGUGACAGUUUGCGGCUCACCCGUAAAAUUGCAGUUCAUACUGGCAUCCUUGAGUACAGUAGUGGUAGGCGGAAUUCGUCGUGUAGCGGU